CAAUAGCGUAUAUUAAAGCUGUUGCGGUUAAAAAGCUCGUAGUUGGAUUUCUGUCAAGGACAACUGGUCCGCCCCUCGGGUGAGCACAUAGUUUGGUCUUGGCAUCUUGUUGGAAACUGUUGCUGCACUUGGUUGUGUGGCGCAGUGUCCAGCACUUUCACUUUGAGGAAAUUGGAGUGUUUCAAGCAGGCACAUGCCUUUGGACACAGUAGCAUGGAAUAAUUAGAUUGGGCUUUUGCUCCAACUUGUCGGUUUCUGGAGCUGAGGUGAGAAUUAAUGGGGAUUGUUGGGGGCAUCCGAAUUUAGCCGUCAGAGGUGAGAUUCUUGGAUCUGCUAAAGACGGACAACUGCGAAAGCGUUUGCCCAGGAUGUUUUCAUUGA
rnacentral:rRNA from 1 species